rnacentral:lncRNA from 10 species
GAGCCCGCCCCUCUCCCAGGCUCCUGCUCCAGGGCGAACCCGGGGGUCCUCUCCCAUGGCUCUGUGGGGGACCCCGGGGAGGUCGCCCUGGCACGGGACACUGUCGCGGGGUAGGACCCGAGAGGGUCUGGGGCGGUCAGGCUUCAUCCUGAGCACCGCCCGGGUGCAGGGAGCGCUGGGUGCUGGGUAAGCGCGCGCCUGCGGGAGAGGCGGAGGCGGGGGCGGGGGCGGGGGCGGCAGGGAGCCCCUGGGCACCCACGGCGGGCGAGGCGGCGGCUUCCACUCCCAGGGAGCGGGGGUUUCGCGCAGGGGACGGCGCCCGGCUUGAAAUUUAGGAAAUUCCGGUGUCCCGCCCGCGCAAGAGGCGCUGGAGCAUUUCCAGGUCGUUAUAGGGCCCGGCCGCGUGGGGACCCCGGGGCAGAUGCGCACCAAGCCUGGGACGCGCCUCCCAGGCCCUGCCCGAGAAACCCUUGCAUGCGUGGGCACACACACAGAGAUACACACAACACUCCAUAUGGACACACACACACACACAGAUACACAUAACACUCCAUAUGGACACCCACACACACUCCACAUAGACACACACAACACUCCACAUAGACACACACAUAGAUACACACCACUCCACAUAAGACACACACACAGAUACAUACCACUCCGCAUAGGCACACACACACAUACACAGGUACACACAACACUCCAUAUGGACACACACACAGAGAUACAUACUACACAUAGACACACACCAUGCACAAACCACACACACAUGCAACACUCCACAGACAUACACACAGAUACACAGAUACACCACGCCACAUAGACACACCAUCACACCACACACACAAAACACAUCACAUAGAGACACACACCACACACAUACAAGAUGCCACAUAGAUACACCACACACAAACCACACACACACACCUCAUAGACACACAAACCAUGCACACUAUGCACAAACCACACACACGCAUACAUACCCACAACACACCACAUACACACCAUGCAUACCACACCCACACUCCACAUAGACACA